rnacentral:rRNA from 1 species
GACGAACGCUGGCGGCGUGCUUAACACAUGCAAGUCGAACGGACUGAGUUGAUAGCUUGCUAUUGAUGAGGUUAGUGGCAAACGGGUGAGUAACGCGUAGGCAACCUGCCCUUCAGAUGGGGACAACACCUCGAAAGGGGUGCUAAUACCGAAUGACGUUGCGCUGUCGCAUGACGGUGCAACCAAAGGCCGGGCAACCGGUCACUGAAGGAUGGGCCUGCGUCUGAUUAGCUAGUUGGUGGGGUAACGGCCCACCAAGGCGACGAUCAGUAGCCGGUCUGAGAGGAUGAACGGCCACAUUGGGACUGAGACACGGCCCAAACUCCUACGGGAGGCAGCAGUGGGAAUCUUCCGCAAUGGGCGCAAGCCUGACGGAGCAACGCCGCGUGAGUGAAGAAGGUUUUCGGAUCGUAAAGCUCUGUUGAGAGGGACGAGAGGCAAGGCUAGGAAAUGAGCUUUGUAGGACGGUACCUUUCGAGGAA